UCUCCGUAGGUGAACCUGCGGAGGGAUCAUUACAGAGUUCAUGCCCUACCGGGUAGAUCUCCCACCCUAUGUUAUUAUUACUUUGUUGCUUUGGCGGGCCGUUAGGCUCCGGCCCGACUACCGGCCCCGGCUGGUAAGCGCCCGCCAGAGGACCCAAAACCCUGAAUAUUAGUGUCGUCUGAGUACUAUAUGAUAGUUAAAACUUUCAACAACGGAUCUCUUGGUUCCG
rnacentral:misc_RNA from 1 species